UGAACAUCCGGUUCCUGCCACGUGUUCUGCUUCUUGCUUGGAGGGUCGGCGCUGGAUCCCCCGGAAGAGGCUUCUGGAUCCCACUCAGGUUAUAAACACUGCCACUAAAACAUCCAAAGCUUGAGUCUGACCACCAUUUCGACUUCGCCUUCCAGGAGCUUGCUGCCUCCCCCUCAGUCCAGUUCAGUGUCUUACCUGUUCGUGUUGCCUCUCUACCUGCCUGCUCCCUGUUGCUUCCAUCCAUCGCUGCAAGGAUCCAUCGCAUCGGAGUUCUGCUGAUUUUGUCUACUGAUUAUUAACAUAAUGAGUAAGAAAAGAGGAUGCAAAUUCA